rnacentral:rRNA from 1 species
UACGUAGGGUGCAAGCGUUGUCCGGAAUUAUUGGGCGUAAAGAGCUUGUAGGCGGUUUGUCGCGUCUGCUGUGAAAUUUCGGGGCUCAACCCCGAACUUGCAGUGGGUACGGGCAGACUAGAGUGUGGUAGGGGAGACUGGAAUUCCUGGUGUAGCGGUGAAAUGCGUAGAUAUCAAGCGGAACACCAGUGGCGAAGGCGAGUCCCUGGACAACACCUGACACUGAGGCACGAAAGCUAGGGGAGCAAACAGG